GAUGAAGAACGCAGCGAAAUGCGAUAACUAAUGUGAAUUGCAGAAUUCCGUGAAUCAUCGAGUCUUUGAACGCACAUUGCGCCCCCUGGUAUUCCGGGGGGCAUGCCUGUCCGAGCGUCAUUGCUGCCCAUCAAGCACGGCUUGUGUGUUGGGUCCUCGUCCCCCCCGGGGGACGUGCUCGAAAGGCAGCGGCGGCACCGCGUCCGGUCCUCGAGCGUAUGGGGCUUUGUCACCCGCUCUGCAGGCCCGGCCGGCGCUGGCCGACGCGAAAGCAACCAUUUUUUCUCCAGGUUGACCUCGGAUCAGGUAGGGAUACCCGCUGAACUUAAGCAUAUCAAUAAGCGGAGGA
rnacentral:misc_RNA from 1 species